UUAGCACAGGGCACCUCUGUAGUGCUGAGACUCCUGAUGUUUGUGUUGUGAGAAAGCCAACCUUGGAGACUUGAGAAUUAA
rnacentral:snoRNA from 1 species